rnacentral:rRNA from 1 species
CCCUGGCUCAGGACGAACGCUGGCGGCGUGCCUAAUACAUGCAAGUCGAGCGGAUCUUGUCCUUCGGGACAAGAUUAGCGGCGGACGGGUGAGUAACACGUGGGUAACCUGCCUGUAAGACUGGGAUAACAUUCGGAAACGAAUGCUAAUACCGGAUACGCGAUUUGGUCGCAUGACUGAAUCGGGAAAGAUGGAGCAAUCUAUCACUUACAGAUGGACCCGCGGCGCAUUAGCUAGUUGGUGAGGUAACGGCUCACCAAGGCGACGAUGCGUAGCCGACCUGAGAGGGUGAUCGGCCACACUGGGACUGAGACACGGCCCAGACUCCUACGGGAGGCAGCAGUAGGGAAUCUUCCGCAAUGGACGAAAGUCUGACGGAGCAACGCCGCGUGAGUGAUGAAGGUUUUCGGAUCGUAAAGCUCUGUUGCCAGGGAAGAAUGCUUGGGAGAGUAACUGCUCCCAAGGUGACGGUACCUGAGAAGAAAGCCCCGGC